UACGAGUGCCCCGAGCGUUAUCCGGAAUUAUUGGGCGUAAAGGGUGUGUAGGUGGUCGCGUUAGUCUCCCGUUAAAGCUCCCGGCUCAACCGGGAAAGUGCGGGAGAUACGGCGCGACUCGAGGGUGCGGAGAGGUGCACGGAACUCAUGGUGUAGGGGUGAAAUCCGUUGAUAUCAUGAGGAACACCAAAGGCGAAGGCAGUGCACUGGCGCAUUCCUGACACUGAGACACGAAAGCGUGGGUAGCGAAUGGG
rnacentral:rRNA from 1 species